CGGGGUGGUGGUGGGCACCUGUAAUCCCAGCAACUCUGGAGGCUGAGGCAGGAGGAUUGCAAGUUCAAAGCCAGCCUCAGCAACUUAGCGAGGCCGUAAGCAACUUAGCAAGACCCUGUCUCAGAAUAAGAUAUAAAAAGGGCUGGGAGUGUGGCUCAGUGGUCAGCACCCCUGGGUUCACUCCGACUGCUAGGACAAGAUUAAAAACAAUGACCCCAGAGCAGAAGAGUAAGGUACCUUUUGAGUAAAAAGAGAAGGACAAUAGCAAUAAGUAUUCAUUUUGUCUGUAUUUGCAUAAAACUUGUACGAUGCACAAGAAACUCAUUCCCAGGUAACUCAUUUCCUGGGGUAGACUGGAGAAGGGUGG
rnacentral:lncRNA from 1 species